rnacentral:rRNA from 1 species
GACGAACGCUGGCGGCGUGCUUAACACAUGCAAGUCGAACGGAAAGGCCUGCUUUCCCUUGUGGAUUGCGGGUACUCGAGUGGCGAACGGGUGAGUAACACGUGAGUGAUCUGCCCCCAACUUGGGUAUAAGCCUGGGAAACUGGGUCUAAUUCCCGAUAGGACUGCAGGGUGGUGCCUGUGGUGGAAAACGAUUUUCUAGUGGUUGGGGAUGAGCUCGCGGCCUAUCAGCUUGUUGGUGGGGUAAUGGCCUACCAAGGCGGCGACGGGUAGCCGGCCUGAGAGGGUGGACGGCCACAGUGGGACUGAGAUACGGCCCAGACUACUACGGGAGGCAGCAGUGGGGAAUAUUGCACAAUGGGCGGAAGCCUGAUGCAGCGACGCCGCGUGGGGGAUGACGGCCUUCGGGUGGUAAACUCCUUUCGACCGCGAGGAAGCCACCUGGUUGGAAGGGUGGUGACGGUAGUGGUAGAAGAAGCACCGGCUAACUACGUG